UACAGAGGUCUCAAGCGUUGUUCGGAUUCAUUGGGCGUAAAGGGCGCGUAGGCUGCGGGGCAAGUCGGGUGUGAAAUCUCAGAGCUCAACUCUGAAACUGCACUCGAUACUGCUUUGCUCGAGGACUGGAGAGGAGAUUGGAAUUCACGGUGUAGCAGUGAAAUGCGUAGAUAUCGUGAGGAACACCAGUGGCGAAGGCGGCUCACUGGCCCGGUACUGACGCUGAGGUGCGAAAGCGUGGGGAGCAAACAGG
rnacentral:rRNA from 1 species